rnacentral:pre_miRNA from 1 species
AGUGGGAUAACUGGGUCAAAUGGUGGUUCCAAGUUUUCUGAGGAAUCUCCAUACUGCUUUCCAGAGUGGUUGCACUAAUUUGCAGUGCCACCAGCAGU